rnacentral:lncRNA from 1 species
CUGGAGAUGCAAAUGGAUUCUGGUUGGUAGAGCUUCCGUCAAAUUCUAUUUCAAUAGAAUAAUUAUAUAGGCUAAAAAAUACGUUUUGAUCUGCUAAAAUAUAUUCUGCUGAAAUACGUUCUGAUCCGCUAAAUUAUUUAAAAGAAACAUACGUUUUGAUCUCCUAAAAAAUAAAGUAGAAAAUUGGAAACUCUUCAGCCAAUUCGUUCGUCUCGAUUCGCCAAAAAUUCGCCAAAAAACUCAUGGAUGUCCUGAUAUAUCCCGAAUGGAAUGAUAAGCAGAGCCACGAAAAUGGAAA